rnacentral:rRNA from 1 species
UAGGGAAUCUUCCACAAUGGACGCAAGUCUGAUGGAGCAACGCCGCGUGAGUGAAGAAGGUCUUCGGAUCGUAAACUCUGUUGUUAGAGAAGAACACGAGUGAGAGUAACUGUUCAUUCGAUGACGGUAUCUAACCAGCAAGUCACGGCUAACUACGUCCAG